GCCUGUUGCGUUCAAGUUAUGACCUGGCCUUGUUUUCACAGCACCACUAAGAUGCCAGGAAAGAGGUUAGCGUGGAGCAGAGACAGAAGCAGGAGCCGUGUUGGGCCAGGUGAGCCACACAGUGUAACGUAGGAGCUCGACUCCUGGCAGGUUCUUGGAUUCCAUGGGGCCAAAAAAAGACAAUGGAGCCACAGGAUGCCACUUGGCAGAGUAAACACAGCUUUCUGUUGGUCCUUUGAGGAGAUGCCGAGCAGAGGGGUAAGAGCUGGGGCAGGGAUCAGGCCCCGAGGUGGGCUCCGAGGAGGAGAUUCAGAGAUUCAGGGGCUCAGUUCCAUUUCUCCGGGAGUCCCAGCCCCACCUCGGGAGCCUGGUCUAGACUGACACUCCUUAAGAUGUCAUAAUUACGGUCGUAGUUGAUGGAGCCUCUGCAAAGGCUGGACCUCUCACAUACAUCGCAUCAUGUAAUCCCCAAGACCACCGGAAGAGCUAGGUGCCCUUAUCUCUGCUUCCAAAUUAGGGAAGGGAGAUGCAAAGAGGUGAAAUCGCACAUUUGGGUCACCCAGCUAGUGGGUGGUAGAAUGGGGACCAAAGCAUGAUCUGUCUGAUAUCAGACCUGCUGGAUUUUCUACUUUCCCUUAUAAAAGACAAGGCUGUCAAUUUGUUGAGUAUCUACUAUGUGCCAGGCACUAUGAUGGACACUAUUUCUAUCUCUAAUCUGAAAGUGCCAUUUCCUAGAAUGCCUUUCCUAUGCCAUUAACAUCAGAAGAGUGAGAUGAUAGUACAGUCCAGUAACUGGGGGAGGAAACAUAGGCAUGAAUCCCAGAGAUAAAAACAGGAUGAGCCUCAAGUUGCUUCUUGUAAUGCAAACGGCAUCCUCAUCAGAUGUCCACCAGGUCCUGUUGCCUCCACCUCCAAACAAACCCUGACCCUAGCUUGCCUCCCACUGCCCCUGCUCCCAGCCUAGUCCAGGCCAUCAUCAUUGGCUCAUCUGGGCUGGCCUCUGGCCUCUGAUUCCUUUUGUCUCACCAAAAGACUAUCUCCUCACAGCAGCCAGAGGGUUUGUUAAAAUGUAAACCCCAUCCCUCCUUGGCUGUAACUCUGUAUUAGCCAUGUCUUUGUAGUUUCUGUAUUUCGAUGCUUUGACAAGGUGGGGUGGGGCAGGGCUUGCUGACUCUGGAGGGACUCCCCCUCCCAGGGCUAGCCAAUACCUCGAGAUUGAGAGCAAGCAACUCACCCUUGAACUUGCCUUUUAGAUGCAAGCCAAUCAAUCCAGAGCCCAUACCCAUAGCUACCACCUGUACUGGACUCUCACACUUGGGGACUACCCCUCUGCCCUAUUCACCCCAGGACCAGGUACCAGACAACUGGGUACAGCCCCUAUGCCUCAGGUGCUUCCCCUGGAGCAUGGCUUGCCCCUCCUUUUGGGAUCUGUAAAUACAGCAAAUUGUUUUUUCAAUGGCAGUUGUCUUCUGCUCUGUGGUCUGAAAUAAUAAUAAUAAAUUAUAAUAAAACUGAAAUAAUAAUAAAACCUAUAUUUUAAAACAAACUCCCCAGUGGCUCCCAUCACACAGGAUAAAAUCCAGGCUCCUUUCCACGGCCCAGAAGGCCCUCCAUGACCUGGCGCCUGCCUGCCCCCCAGACCUUGUCUCCUGUCUCCAUUCCCGGCUCACUGUGCUCCAAGCCCACUGCCUUCUUUCUAUUCCUCAGACCCAGCAAAGGGGUUCCCACCGUAGGACCUUUCCCCGGGCUGUUCCCUCUGCAUGGAACAUUCUUCUCCCAGAACCCAGCAUGGGUGGCUCCUUAUUGACAUCUAGGGCUCAGUUUAUAAGUAGCCUUCUCAGAGAGGCCUUCUCUGAACACUCGCCAUCAAGGGAUAAUAAUAGCUAGCAUGUUUUCCAUGUGUCAGGCACCCUUUUAUGUACUUUCCAUGUAUUCACUCUUUGAAUCCUCAAAACAACCCUAUAAGAUAGGUAUUAUUAUUAUUAUUUCCAUUUUGCAAGUGAGGAAACAGAGGCUCAAAGAGGGUAAGUGACCAGAGUCUCACGGCUAACAGGCAGGAGAGCCGGGACUCAAACCCAGCAGCCCAUUUCAAACCCACACUGGGAAUCACUGCACCUUAUCUCCUGGCGCAGAGUAAGUUUAAAAUAACUAUUAGCUAUUAUUUUUUUAUUAUUAUGGUUUUUAACAGAGGCUGAAUUCCACCCUCCUAUUUUCUUGAAUGACAUACGAAUUCCUUUGCCACAAUCCCUCCUGCCCCCUAUUGUCUUACACCAGUUUACCUGACUUGCUUGGACCCUGAAGGCAUUCGUGUUUGCAACCCCUGCUCUGGGUGCCUGUUACUCAUUCACUAAUUCUUUUAACCAACACUCACUGUGCCAGGCGCCCUAGUAGGCCCACAGAGACAAAUAAGAUGGCAUCCGUGCCCUCAAGGAGUCCGUGGCCAUGUCGGGAGGCUGACCUGCACACAGGUUGUUCCAAGGCACUGUUAUGUGUGCCGUCGUGGAAACGUCCAUGAGUGUUAGGGAUUCAGCUAGGAAGGAUUUCCCGGAGAAAGUGCCAUCUCUGCUGGGUUUGGAAGACUGGACGGGAAGCAGACAGGAAAGAUGCAGCACAAGCAAGCGGAAACGGCACAAGCAAGCGGAAACGGCACAAGCAAGCGGAAACGGCACAAGCAAACGGAAACGGCACAAGCAAGCGCAUACAAGUGGCUGAGUGCGCGCCUGUCUAGGGACGACUGGUCACUUCGGAUGAGAAAGAGGAGUGAAUCUGACUGGCCGAAGGAAAUUGAUCCAGAUCUGGGCUUCUGAUAAGAACUGCAACCUUUAUUGUGGAGGCUGAGAGCAGUCCUAGAAGGAUUUUAAGUAGGGAUUCACAGGGCAUUGUCAGUAGGGUUCCACGCCCACCCCACCCCCAUUUUCCCAAACCUGUUGAGAACUUGGUCUCUUCCAAGCCAGCUCAUGUUCUUUAGGCUGGGGAGCCUUUUCCAGGCAUUUGAUGGGAUUGAUGACAAGGCUGGGAGCCAGGAAAAAAAGAUUAAGAGUGGGAAUUCAGGCCUUCCUUGGCCUCUGGGCUGCCCUGAGCUGGCCUAGUCUCCAAGAAUCAUUUUUGAUGAGAGAUUCUGGGAAGCAGGCCAUUGCCAAGGCCAAGUAAGCUCCUGAAGAAAUGGGAAGGAGCCCUAAAGUAGAAAGAGUAAUAAUGUCCUCACCAGUUUUCCCCUCCUAGGUGGGCGUGGUCAAGAUGUCCGGCCCCUCCCUUUGCAGGACGCUCCCUCAGCCUGGCCUCCUUCCUCUGUGCUCUGUAGGUAGUUCCUCGUCCUCCAAGAUGGGGCUCUGGCAACCUCCGUGGGCGAUGUGCCUUCAGUUGUAAAGUUAGGUCUGACGGAGGGGGAAUGUGGGAGCAGGCUGAGAGACCCCAAUUUCUAUCCUUUCCCUCCAGCCAGGCAUCAAGGUGUGACAGCAGACAGGUAGAUGUGGGUUUUGAUCCUGCUUUUGCCAGUCAUUAACUCUAAUACCUUGGGCUAGUCACCUGGUCUCUGAACCUCGGUUUCCUGACCUGCAAACUGGGAAUGACACUACCGAUGUCUCAAAAUCAUUGUGCCAACUGAAUGAGAUCAGGUAUCCCAAGUACAUGGCACAAACAUGAUUCUUGCCAGUGCCGGACACUGGUGGCUAGAGUUCCUCAGGUGGAGGGUGGCAGGGAGGGAGUGAAGGUGACACUGAUGGACCACAAUGGACUCAAGCACCUGUGUUGCCAGAGGAGACAGCACUUGCAAAGGCAUGGAGCGUGACAGGGCAUGGCAGGAUUGAAAAUGUUAAGUAACAAUAAUUGAGAAAGACAGUUACUAUUCUUGACCUUUAUUAAGCAUAUACUUUACCUGUUAGUAGGAUGCUAAAAGAGGAUUCAUCUGGACUCCAGCUGGGUCUCAAUGCUGAAAACAGUAGGUGCGUGUACAGAUGUAGAUGUGAACAAAAACCAUCUCCAUCUUUGUGUCUGAUCAUGCUAUGACCUUUGACCAACCUCACCAUCCUUAGUAAGCAUAGCAAAACCUUCUAGUUAAUGAUUAUCUGUGUUCCCUAAAAUGUAACCAUAAAUACUUUUGUUAGUAAUGGCCAGGACAACUGAGAUGAAUAUUCAACUGGAGAUAGUAUUGACCACCAGGAGGUAUGGCUCCUGGCACCACUACAUGCUUUGUUCCUUUUUGUCUUGUCAAUCAUUAGUAUCUGAGUUAUAUUACAAAAACAGUAUGAUAACAGGAGUCUGUAGUGGAGAAAAUUUGUGCAGAACUGCUGGGUGCUUUGUCUGCUUCGUCUGCUCCUGUCCAAUCUUCCUGUAAGGAAA